UUGAAUUUUAAUGAAGAGUUUGGUUGUAGCUGGCCCAUUCAUUUGGGCAUGUGCACACCUUCCUCUUUCAUCCCACACACACCUUGUGAACCUGUGAGACAGAGAUGGGGAAUUUACUUGCUGCUUUUUUGGAAUACAAAGGCAAUAGGUUAUUGGACCCCCCCUCUGUCUACUCAAUUAAUAUAAACUCAAUUUAUUUUUAAAACGAAUGUAAUGGAUGUAACACAUCUCAUACU
rnacentral:misc_RNA from 1 species